AUCCUUAGUUUUCUAAGACGCACGUAUAGUCUUUCUGUAGUUUUCUUUUUCAUUUUCACUCUCUCUCGUCUCUCUACCUCUCUCAAUCAGAUCACGACGGUGUUUAGGCCGGAGAAAUUGUAGAUUUCAGAUUUGCAUUUAGGAACGAAUCUUAUCAGUCCAGCAAGGAGAAGGAGAAGAAGAAAAUAAUAAUGAUGAUGAUAUCAAGGGAGAAAAUGACGAUGGAACCGGUAUUCAGAAAUAUGAAAAUGAAAUUGAAAUUGAAAUUGAAAUUGAAGAGAAGAAAAAGAAGAAGAAAAAGAAGAAGAAGAUGAUGAUGAUGAUGGGAGGUCUCGACAAGGUAACAACAAUAAAACCCUAGAGAUUCUUUGACUGGUUAUCAUCAAACGGUUCCAAUUCAGGUAUCAAAGGUUCAGAAUGGUAUAUAUUUACGAGUUAGAAGACAAGGAGGGAGAAGAAGAGGAGCAAGUGAAUUCAUGUCCGCCGGUUCAACCAAUAGAAACAAGAAAUUUGCUACUAAAUUUUGCUGAUGAGCAUCCAACUAGCAUCAGCAAUAGCAAGAGGAUGUUUGCUGAUAUGGGUCAUCUCUCAAGGGAUCAUCUUGGCGAGCAAGAGAAGGAACAAGUCAAUCUCAACCUGGGGCUGCAUUUAGCUUCCCAUCCCCAUUCAGUUUGUCCAGCCUAUGUUGCUUCUGAAGUCGGGGCUUUAAAGAGGUUGGGCAGGGUACUAAUAAUCAUGGUGAAUUAUCCAAGGGAGAGGAACAAAGCAGAGGCAAAAAGAGGUUUGCUGGCGUUCUUGGUGAAGCAGAUCUCGAGUUAGGGCUGCCAAAAGCUUCCAAAAGCUUCCAAGCACGAUUCAGGCCACAGAUUCUCAGAAGUGCUAAGUUGUCCUGCCCAUCAAGUGUCAUCAUCUCUGACUCAUCAGAGGGUUCACCCUUCCUGUCCCCAUAUAGAUCAUCUUGGAGUACCACCUGCACUAUUUCAACCGGGAUUUGGUUUACGGUUCCUCCCCAAGGACCAUGAGGUUAUCCUAUGGUACCUAAACAAGAAAAUAGAGAGACCUACAGAAUAUGCAGUAUGGUUUUUACCAGUUAUAACAGAUCUCUAUCAGCAUCAUCCCCAGUAUAUCUUGCAGCGCGCAGCUAAGGAUGAUAUAUAUUUUUUCUGUGAAAGUGCGAAUACAUACCAUGUGAGCAGAACUGUCAGUGAUCUAGGUACUUAUAAGAUGGAUGGUCGGGGUCCUGUGUUUGCAGAGAACACUCAAGAGGUUAUCGGAGAAAAAACUCAUCUGAAUUUCAGAGUGAAAGGCACGGACAAAUCAUCAAAAUGGGUUAUUAAAAGAGUACAUAAGCAAGAAGCAGCCCUCCACCACCACCAACAACAAAAUUUGGAUAGUAUGCCACCUCUACGAAAACAAGACAAGAAAGUAUUAGUCCUGAGUCUGAUGUGUAAUGAUGACUGUUAGCUGUUAAAGUCCUUCUUGACAUAUAAGACGAUAAAGUUGAAAUAAAAGAUUUCAAAUUUGUAAUUUUUGCUUUUCUGGAUUUUUUUAUUGUAUGCUUUUUUCUUCU